rnacentral:rRNA from 1 species
UACGUAGGGGCAAGCGUUGUCCGGAUUUAUUGGGCGUAAAGAGCGUGUAGGCGGCCAGGCAGGUCCGCUGUGAAAACUCGAGGCUCAACCUCGAGACGUCGGUGGAAACCGUCUGGCUAGAGUCCGGAAGAGGAGAGUGGAAUUCCCGGUGUAGCGGUGAAAUGCGCAGAUAUCGGGAGGAACACCCGUGGCGAAAGCGGCUCUCUGGGACGGUACUGACGCUGAGACGCGAAAGCGUGGGGAGCGAACAGGAUUAGAAA